AUUAUUGGUGGACUAACGAUAAAGUACUUUGCAGGUACAUGCAACACCCCAAACUUCUAUGUAAUUAGUGCAUUAUUGUUUAGCCCCACGAAUAAUACAUA
rnacentral:ncRNA from 1 species